GACGAACGCUGGCGGCGUGCCUAACACAUGCAAGUCGAGCGGGGAGAUCCUUUCGGGGGUCUUCUAGCGGCGGACGGGUGAGUAACGCGUGAGCAAUCUGUCCCAUACAGGGGGAUAACAGCUGGAAACAGCUGCUAAUACCGCAUGAGACCACAGAGCCGCAUGGCUUAGGGGUCAAAGGAGCAAUCCGGUAUGGGGUGAGCUCGCGUCUGAUUAGAUAGUUGGUGAGGUAACGGCCCACCAAGUCAACGAUCAGUAGCCGACCUGAGAGGGUGAUCGGCCACAUUGGAACUGAGACACGGUCCAAAACUCCUACGGGAGGCAGCAGUGGGGAAUAUUGGGCAAUGGGCGAAAAGCCUGACCCAGCAACGCCGCGUGAGGGAAGAAGGUUUUCGGAUUGUAAACCUCUGUCCUUGGUGACGAAGAAGUGAGUAGCCAAG
rnacentral:rRNA from 1 species